rnacentral:rRNA from 1 species
UACAGAGGUGGCAAGCGUUGUUCGGAAUUACUGGGCGUAAAGGGCGCGUAGGCGGUUCGUUAAGUCCUGUGUGAAAUCCCCCGGCUCAACUGGGGAACUGCACAGGAAACUAGCGGGCUUGAGUUCAGGAGAGGGAAGUGGAAUUCCCGGUGUAGUGGUGAAAUGCGUAGAUAUCGGGAGGAACACCAGUGGCGAAGGCGACUUCCUGGCCUGUUCUUGACGCUGAGGCGCGAAAGCUAGGGGAGCAAACGGG